CACUGAAACAUCGGUUCCCGUGCUAUCACCGAAGUUAAGCAACAUCGAGCCUGGUCAGUAGAUAGAUGGGUGACUACUUGGGAAUACCAGGUGCUGUAA